rnacentral:lncRNA from 1 species
UGUGCGACGCACAACCUAAUGUGUGAGAUAAUAUGUGUUCCACACAACCUAGCUUAUGCGUUAAGGUGUGCGCCGCAUACAUUGUGGUCCAAGUGACUUAAACACUCCAUAUUUAGGGCAAAAUGGUCAUUUUCCCACCCCAAUAUAAGCCACAAACACGGAAUUUUACUCCAAAAACACAAAAAUAUACUUCUUCUUCCAAUUUUAUCUAAAGAACAACACCCCUUAGUCCCAAACAAAAAUCUAGAUCCCUCAAGAUUCAACUGUGGGU